ensembl:snoRNA SNORA70 Small nucleolar RNA SNORA70
CUGCAGUCAAUUAAGCCGACCAGCCCCUGUUGCUAUCAGUGGAUGGUGUGCAAUGACUGCACACAGCAAACUCCCUUGGUUGUGUACGUGCUCCGUUCCUUGUACAGAGUACCUUAAGGGACCUUGGGAACACCU